GACGAACGCUGGCGGCGCGCUUAAUACAUGCAAGUCGAGCGAGAACCAGUCCUUCGGGACUGGGGAAAGCGGCGAACGGGUGAGUAACACGUGGGUAAUCUGCCCUCGGCACUGGGAUAGCCCGGGGAAACCCGGAUUAAUACCGGAUAGCCUUUCGAGCCUUCGGGCUCGUCAGAAAAGGUGGCUUCGGCUUCCGGCUGAGGAUGAGCCCGCGGCGGAUUAGCUUGUUGGUGAGGUAAUGGCUCACCAAGGCUCCGAUCUGUAGCUGGUCUGAGAGGACGAUCAGCCACACUGGGACUGAGACACGGCCCAGACUCCUACGGGAGGCAGCAGUAGGGAAUCUUGCGCAAUGGGCGAAAGCCUGACGGAGCAAUGCCGCGUGGAGGUGGAAGGCCUACGGGUCGUCAAC
rnacentral:rRNA from 1 species